AUUCAACUGAUAAGUCCGAAAUAGGACGAAAUGCACGUCGUGGAU
rnacentral:hammerhead_ribozyme from 1 species